rfam:Salmo salar isolate Sally breed double haploid chromosome ssa01, whole genome shotgun sequence.
UGCAUUCACUACUGUAAAUCGCUCUGGAUAAGAGCGUCUGCUAAAUUACUAAAA